CUUGCUCCUCUGAUCAGUGGCGAACGGGUGAGUAACACGUGAGCAACCUGCCCCAGACUCUGGGAUAACAGAUGGAAACAGCUGCUAAUACCGGAUACGAGACGGAGAGGCAUCUCUACCGUCUGGAAAGUUUUUCGGUCUGGGAUGGACUCGCGGCCUAUCUACUAGUUGGUGAGGUAAUGGCUCACCAAGGCGACGACGGGUAGCCGGCCUGAGAGGGCGACCGGCCACACUGGGACUGAGACACGGCCCAGACUCCUACGGGAGGCAGCAGUGGGGAAUAUUGCACAAUGGGCGAAAGCCUGAUGCAGCGACGCCGCGUGAGGGAUGACGGCCUUCGGGUUGUAAACCCUCUUUCAGCAGGGAAGAAGCGAAAGUGACGGUACCUGCAAAAGAAGCACCGGCUAACUACGUGCCAGCAGCCGCGGUAAUACGUAGGGUGCGAGCGUUGUCCGGAAUUAUUGGGCGUAAAGAGCUUGU
rnacentral:rRNA from 1 species